rnacentral:rRNA from 1 species
UACGGAGGGAGCUAGCGUUGUUCGGAAUUACUAGGCGUAAAGGGCAGGUAGGCGGAUCUACGAGUUUUUUGUUAAAGGCUACGGCUCAACUGUAGUAAGGCAGGAGAUACUGUAGGUCUGGAAUGCGGUAGGGGAAGACAGAAUUCCUGGUGUAGCGGUGGAAUGCGCAGAGAUCAGGAGGAAUACCGAAGGCGAAGGCAGUCUUCUAGGCCGUAAUUGACGCUUAACUGCGAAGGUGUGGGGAUCAAACAGGAUUAGAUACCCUGGUAGUCCACACAGUAAACGAUAAUCACUAGAUGUCGGGUUCUAGAUGGAUUCGGUGUCGGAGCCAACGCGAUAAGUGAUUCGCCUGGGGAGUACGAUCGCAAGGUUGAA